AAUGAACGUUGGCGGCAUGGAUUAGGCAUGCAAGUCGAGCGAGAAGUGUAGCAAUACAUGGAAAGCGGCGGAAGGGAGAGUAAUACGUGGGAGUCUGCCCUUAGACCUGGGAUAGCAGCGGGAAACUGCUGGUAAUACCAGAUAAUGUCUAUGGACCAAAGGUGUGAUUCCGUCUAGGGAUGAGCCCACGUCCUAUUAGCUAGUUGGUAGGGUAAUGGCCUACCAAGGCGAUGAUGGGUAGCGGGUGUGAGAGCAUGACCCGCCUCACUGGGACUGAGACACUGCCCAGACACCUACGGGUGGCUGCAGUCGAGAAUCUUCGGCAAUGGGCGCAAGCCUGACCGAGCGAUGCCGCGUGCGGGAUGAAGGCCUUCGGGUUGUAAACCGCUGUCGAGGGGGAGCAACUUCCAUAGAGUUAUCUUUAUGGAUUGAGUGAUCCCUGGAGGAAGGACGGGCUAAGUUCGUGCCAGCCGCCGCGGUAACAC
rnacentral:rRNA from 1 species